CAGAGGAUUUCUGUGCUGCUCUGACUGAAGUUCUAGGAACAAACCCUUUACUGCUGACAGAACUGAAUCUAAGUGGGAAAAUAACAGGAGACUCAGCAGUGAAGCAGCUCUCUCAUCUACUGAAGGAUUUACACUGCAGAACUAAGAUACUGAAGUUAAAUAACUGCAGUAUAACAGGGCAAGACUGUGCUGCUCUAUCAGCAGCUCUUUGUUCUAAUCCUUCACACCUUAUAAAGCUGGAUCUGAGUGGGAAUAAACUAGGGGACUCUGGAGUGAAAGAGAUAAAUCAUCUACUACAAAACUCAAACAGCAAACUGGAGUUGCUGAAUCUCUCAGACUGCAGUGUAUCAGAAAAAGGCUAUACUGCUCUGGCUUCAGCUUUAAAAUCAAACACUUCAUCACAUCUGAUAGA